rfam:Bulleidia extructa W1219 contig00010, whole genome shotgun sequence.
AUAUUUACGUUAUCAAUACCAUAGACAGUAACGGCUUUAGAAGCUUAAAAAAGUUACCGAGGUAGAUGAAAGUAAAUUUAUUCUUUCCCCUCGCCAGUCUAUCAGCGAGGGUUUUAUAUCUAUAGC